UCCUCCGUGGCGCAAUUGGCUAGCGCGUCUGACUGUUACCAUAUGCACGGUUCAUCAGGAGGUUGACAGUUCAAGCCUGUCCGGGGGAG